rnacentral:tRNA from 1 species
GUGAGGCUCAGUGGUAGAGUGUUUGCCUAGCAUGCAAAAGGCCCUGGGCUCAAUCCCCAGUAC